rnacentral:rRNA from 1 species
UACGUAGGGUGCGAGCGUUGCCCGGAAUUAUUGGGCGUAAAGGGCGCGUAGGCGGCUUGACAAGUCAAAGGUGAAAUCCCUCGGCUCAACUGAGGAACUGCCUUUGAAACUGUCUGGCUUGAGGCCGGGAGGGGGUAGCGGAAUUCCCAGUGUAGCGGUGAAAUGCGUAGAUACUGGGAGGAACACCAGUGGCGAAGGCGGCUACCUGGACCGGUUCUGACGCUGAGGCGCGAAAGCGUGGGUAGCAAACAGG